UUCCUACGGGAGGCAGCAGUAGGGAAUCUUCGGCAAUGGACGAAAGUCUGACCGAGCAACGCCGCGUGAGUGAAGAAGGUUUUCGGAUCGUAAAACUCUGUUAGUAGGGAAGAACGACGGUGAGAGUAGAAAGCUCAUUAAGGGCCGGUAAUUCCCCAGAAACGGCGGGUUAAUUACGUCCCGCCACCCCCGUUAUUCCGUGGGUGCAAGCGUUAAUCGGAAUUUAUGGGGGUAAAGCGGAGGUCAGGUGUUUUAUAAGUUCUGGUGUAAAAGGCAGUGGUUCAACCAUUGUAUGCAUUGGAAACUGGUAGACUUGAGUACAGGAGAGGAGAGUGGAAUUCCAUGUGUAGCGGUGAAAUGCGUAGAUAUAGUGGAGGAACACCGAGUGGCGAAAGCGGACUCCCUGGCCUGUAACUGACACUGAGGCGCGAAAGCGUGGGGAGCAAACAGGAUUAGAUACCCUG
rnacentral:rRNA from 1 species